rnacentral:rRNA from 1 species
UACGAAGGGUGCAAGCGUUACUCGGAAUUACUGGGCGUAAAGCGUGCGUAGGUGGUUUGUUAAGUCUGCUGUGAAAGCCCCGGGCUCAACCUGGGAAUGGCAUUUGGGACUGCAAGGCUGGAGUGCGGCAGAGGAGACUGGAAUUCCUGGUGUAGCAGUGAAAUGCGUAGAUAUCAGGAGGAAUACCGAUGGCGAAGGCAGGUCUCUGGGCUGACACUGACGCUCAUGCACGAAAGCGUGGGGAGCAAACAGG